AAACACAGGAGAUUAAGCAAGGGGCCUUCUAAGGAACAGCACUCAUCCGAUCAGGGCCUCUCCAUCCCAGAGAAAUCCUAAAGCAUAACACGUACUGUUACCCCGCCCCCCCUUCCAGGUUAAUUCUGGCUAACGGUAAUGGUGAUGGUGACAACUGGUACCAUUUGUUGCCCACCAUGUGCCAGACCCCAUUCAUAUAUUAUCUCUUAUCUUCACAGCAGCAGCCAUGUCUUCUUGUCCCCACUUCUCAGGUGAGGAAAGUGGGGCACAGAGAGGUUAGAACAACCCUAAAGUCACCCAGCAGUUUAGUGGAUCUGAAUUCAGGUCUUAGUAACCCAAACCCCCUGUUCUUUCAAACAAGCUCUGCAAGAAUCUUCCCAACACAGGCUGAAUUCAUUUAACUGGUUUCACUUUUUAUUCACAAGAGAAUCUUUCCACAUCCCAAUCUAUAGAAAAACCUACUCUGAAAAUUGGAAAUUUUCCAUUAAAAGGCAGCCUUCGGAUAGUGUAAUAAAGAUUUUGUACGAGUGCUUUCUGAUGACAUUUGGAAAUAAAUCCACUAAUUAAUUUCCCUUUCUACAACUUCUAAAACAAUGACUCAACGCAGACACCUUGAAAUGUACAAACAAAUCGUGUGAUGGGCGGGAUUCAGUAAUGUUUACUGAGAAGCCACCAUGUUCCCCGCACCGGGCCAGAUGCUUGGGAACAGCCCCAAUGUGAUGACUAAGAAGCACUCAGGACACAUCCUACUCUCUAAGAAUUUCUAAAGGCUACAGCUAGAAAGAACAGAGCCUAUACCCCAAAAUAAGACAGCACAUACACGGCAGCAUGGUCUACACAUUCAGGGGCCGAGGGAAUGGGUCCGGGAGAGAACACAGACACAGCGCAUGAUUGGGCCCACGUGCCAGCAAUCAUGUCCUCUGACGGGAAACACAGCCCCAUCUACGCUUAGUAGGGACUCCACUGAGCUCACUCACCACCUUGUUCUGCAGAGGAAUGUUGAAAAAAAUGAAAGGAACAUUUGUUAAGCAGGUCCUGGCUCCACUUUCUCUUCACUUUAUCUAAUACAGCAACAUUGAAACUGUCAUGUGCAUUUGCCUCUUUCAUUUCCACCUAAGGGAGCCACCAUGAAUUUUUAAAAAACCCAAAUAUCACUUCGAUACUCCUGUUCUAAUUUUGCCUAGCUCAGGAGUGAAAUAACUGUACUGAAAACAGUAACUCUGCCCCUUUCAUGUGUUCUUUCAGGUAAUGUUCUUCACCCGGGAAAGAGGAGAUACAGCUAUGGCUCCCUUUGUACAGCAGCCAAAGCAGAGACUACAAGCAUGUCUAAUCCAAGAGCAGGGAAUAAGAAAACUAGUCUUCUCCAGAGGAAUCCAAACAUGACCACAGGCAAAAGAAGCCAUUGAAAGAUUUAAGCAGCAGAAAAACCUAUCUAGAUAUGUGAUAUAGAAAGAUCAUUCAGGCAGCUGUGUGCAGGCAGAGGAAAACAGCCAGACUGGAAGAAAAGGGUGUAGACACUAGAUGACUUCAAUCAGUUGGCAUCUGGUAUCCAGCAAAACACCUAGAUGAUAUUACUCUUAAAUCUCUAAAUGGUUCAGUAACUAAAGAAUAAUCUUUGUCUGUGACCUAAACCAUGGAUCCCAAAGAAAGAAGUGCGAGAUUAAAUUACCAUGCAACAGAGGUGAUGUCAACAAGAUGGAGGAAUAAGAAGCCACAGACUCUCCUUACCACAUGUGACACAAAGAUUUAACAUCAACACAUAGAUUAAUUUCCUUUGUGAGAAACCCAGAAACUAGUUGAAGAUACCCUGAACCUUAGGCAAGUGCAAAGCCAACCACUUUGAAACCAGUAGGGAAAGGGGAGAUCCAUUCUCACCAUAUCCUUUGCUCUCAGCUCAAUGCCACACAAUAAAGAAGGAAUGCCAAGCUCCCAGCUCCUCACUGAAAUGUGAAGGAGUUGGACUGCACCUUUGGCAUCCCAACUUUUCUGGCUUCUACCUAAAGUAGUAUCUUCUUUCUUGUCUGCCUCAGAGAACUGACAGAUCCAGCACAAAGUAAUCCCCUGAGAUCUACAGAAAACAAAAAGCAUUCUGAACAUACAUGAAGGCAUUUGCUACAGCUCUUCCCCCUGGCUCCCUGCAGAGCACUGAAGCAGAAACAAACAAUCAAAAAUACCCUCCUAGGGAGUAUCAUUUACCAUACAACUAGUUGACACAGCCCCUCCUCUGAAGUCACAGCAAAUAGGAAACAAACCCAAGAUCUCACCUUCUGCCUAGUGAGGGAAGGAGUUGGAAAAGCAUCCAACAGUCCAAUAUUUUAGGGGUUACCAAAGAAAAUGGCUUCAGUCAUGCUUGUCUCAGAGAACUGACACUGCUAUGAACAAAAGAAAAAGCAGUUGGAAUAGCACAAAAUUUUUAGAGGCUUUCAGAAUCUAUGCAUGAGAUGACUGGUGAGGGUAUUCUCCUAUAUGGUGUUGGUCUGAGAAGAAUGAAAAAAGUGGCUAAUUUUUCUAAUGCACAGACACCAACACAGAGAGUCAAGGUGUUGAAAUGAAGAAAUAGGAAAAUACAUUUUAAAUGAGGGAAUAAGAUAAAUCUCCAAAAACAGAUUCUAAUGAAAUGUAGAUAUGUGAUUUACCUGACAGAGAAUUCAAACUGUCACUUAUAUCACAAGAAUGUAUAAACAAAUUGAGAAUUUCAGCAGAGAGAUAAAAAUAUUAAAAAGAAAUAACAAACAGAAAUCAUGGAACUAAAACAUACAAUAACUGAACUGAAAAAUAGAGUAGAGGGAUUGAAGAGCAGAUUAGAUCAAGCAGAAAAAAGGAUUAGUAAACUCAAAAACAGGUCAUAGAAAAUCAUUUGAUCAAAGGAUCAAAAAUAAAAACAAAUUAAAAAGAGUAAAGAAAGCUUAAAGGGCUUAUGGGAUACAUCAAGUGGACCAACUAAUGCAUUAUAAGAAUUCCAGAAGAAGACUGAAAGAACCACAGUGCAUAUGCAAAGAAAUAAUAGCUGAAAGCUUCCCAUAUCUCAGGAAGAAAAUGAACACUUAGACCCAGGAAGCCCACAAAAUGUCAAAUAAAAUGAACUCCCCAAAAUCUACACUGACAUCUACAUUAUCAAAUUGUCAACAUCAAAGACAAAGACACAACUUGAAAACAGCAAGAGAAAAGUGACUUGCUGCGUAUAAGG